rnacentral:hammerhead_ribozyme from 1 species
GUACUGCCGAAAAGUCCCAAAACAGGACGAAACAGAUGUCCAGCAU